UACGUAGGGUGCGAGCGUUAAUCGGAAUUACUGGGCGUAAAGCGUGCGCAGGCGGCUUCGCAAGUCAGGCGUGAAAUCCCCGGGCUCAACCUGGGAAUGGCAUUUGGGACUGCAAGGCUGGAGUGCGGCAGAGGAGACUGGAAUUCCUGGUGUAGCAGUGAAAUGCGUAGAUAUCAGGAGGAAUACCGAUGGCGAAGGCAGGUCUCUGGGCUGACACUGACGCUCAUGCACGAAAGCGUGGGGAGCAAACAGG
rnacentral:rRNA from 1 species